AGCGAACGCUGGCGGCAGGCUUAACACAUGCAAGUCGAGCGGGCACUUCGGUGUCAGCGGCAGACGGGUGAGUAACACGUGGGAACGCACCCUUCGGUUCGGAAUAACGCUGGGAAACUAGCGCUAAUACCGGAUACGCCCUUUUGGGGAAAGGUUUACUGCCGAAGGAUCGGCCCGCGUCUGAUUAGCUAGUUGGUGGGGUAAUGGCCUACCAAGGCGACGAUCAGUAGCUGGUCUGAGAGGAUGAUCAGCCACACUGGGACUGAGACACGGCCCAGACUCCUACGGGAGGCAGCAGUGGGGAAUAUUGGACAAUGGGCGCAAGCCUGAUCCAGCCAUGCCGCGUGAGUGAUGAAGGCCUUAGGGUUGUAAAGCUCUUUUGUCCGGGACGAUAAUGACGGUACCGGAAGAAUAAGCCCCGGCUAACUUCGUG
rnacentral:rRNA from 1 species